GGUGAGUCGGCCCCUAAGGCGAGGGCGAAAGCCGUAGUCGAUGGGAAAUCGGUUAAAAUUCCGAUACCGAUUUUUACUGCGAUGGAGGGACGGAGCAGGCUAGGCUAGCACGGCGUUGGUUGUCCGUGUUUAAGCGUGUAGGUAGGGGGAUUAGGUAAAUCCGGUUCCUCGUUAAUCUGAGACGUGAUGACGAUCUUUUGGGGCGACCCUUAAGAGAAGUAGUUGAUGCCAUACUUCCAGGAAAAACUUCUAAGCUUCAGGUAAGAAUUGACCGUACUGUAAACCGACACAGGU
rnacentral:rRNA from 1 species